GAUGAACGCUGGCGGCGUGCCUAAUACAUGCAAGUCGAGCGAACAGACGAGGAGCUUGCUCCUCUGACGUUAGCGGCGGACGGGUGAGUAACACGUGGAUAACCUACCUAUAAGACUGGGAUAACUUCGGGAAACCGGAGCUAAUACCGGAUAAUAUAUUGAACCGCAUGGUUCAAUAGUGAAAGACGGUUUUGCUGUCACUUAUAGAUGGAUCCGCGCCGCAUUAGCUAGUUGGUAAGGUAACGGCUUACCAAGGCGACGAUGCGUAGCCGACCUGAGAGGGUGAUCGGCCACACUGGAACUGAGACACGGUCCAGACUCCUACGGGAGGCAGCAGUAGGGAAUCUUCCGCAAAGGGCGAAAGCCUGACGGAGCAACGCCGCGUGAGUGAUGAAGGUCUUCGGAUCGUAAAACUCUGUUAUUAGGGAAGAACAAAUGUGUAAGUAACUAUGCACGUCUUGACGGUACCUAAUCAGAAAGCCACAGCUAACUACGUG
rnacentral:rRNA from 1 species